GUGAGUCUCUAAAUUCUCAUUUGAAAUACAUUAAGAAGACUCAAAUCAAAGUACCCUGUGGCAGGGCAUACACAAAAACUGAAACAACAAAUACACGAACAACACCUCCGCCCCCUUGGCACGCCUUAGUUUGAGGCUGCCGCUUCAGCGUCUAUUGUAUUCCAUCGUCGAAAUAUGAGGCACGACUCUGGCAUUAAACUUCAAAAUAAAAAAAUAACAAAAAAUAAAACGAGCGCUGCAAAAUGCCAAAAUGCAGCCGUGGCGAGGACUCUGGUGUUGGCCAGGCCAAGAACAAUAAAAUGAGCACAACACCAGCGUCGAAAAAAAAAAAACGAAAAAAUGAAAAUACAAAAAGGCAGGAGGAGCGAAAAGAUAAGCAGACGGAGACGGACGAUGGAUGCUGCCGAGGAUGAGGACGAGGCAUGGUAGAUGCUGGAGCUAGAUGCUGCUGCUGCUGCUGGGAGCCACUUCAGACUUGGGAUGUGCAAGUGUUGGCCAAGAAAUAAAAGUUGCUGACCUUAAGCCAAGUCUUUGUCUAUGCAGCCGAAGUAAAGUUUUAUUUUUUCCCCAUUUUCCCCCCA